UGGGGAAUAUUGCACAAUGGGCGCAAGCCUGAUGCAGCCAUGCCGCGUGUGUGAAGAAGGCCUUCGGGUUGUAAAGCACUUUCAGCGAGGAGGAAGGGUUCAGUGUUAAUAGCACUGUUCAUUGACGUUACUCGCAGAAGAAGCACCGGCUAACUCCGUGCCAGCAGCCGCGGUAAUACGGAGGGUGCAAGCGUUAAUCGGAAUUACUGGGCGUAAAGCGCACGCAGGCGGUUUGUUAAGUCAGAUGUGAAAUCCCCGCGCUUAACGUGGAACUGCAU
rnacentral:rRNA from 1 species